GACGAACGCUGGCGGCGUGCCUAAUACAUGCAAGUAGAACGCUGAAGGAGGAGCUUGCUUCUCUGGAUGAGUUGCGAACGGGUGAGUAACGCGUAGGUAACCUGCCUGGUAGCGGGGGAUAACUAUUGGAAACGAUAGCUAAUACCGCAUAAGAGUAGAUGUUGCAUGACAUUUGCUUAAAAGGUGCAAUUGCAUCACUACCAGAUGGACCUGCGUUGUAUUAGCUAGUUGGUGGGGUAACGGCUUACCAAGGCGACGAUACAUAGCCGACCUGAGAGGGUGAGCGGCCACACUGGGACUGAGACACGGCCCAGACGCCUACGGGAGGCAGCAGUAGGGAAUCUUCGGCAAUGGACGGAAGUCUGACCGAGCAACGCCGCGUGAGUGAAGAAGGUUUUCGGAUCGUAAAGCUCUGUUGUAAGAGAAGAACGAGUGUGAGAGUGGAAAGUUCACACUGUGACGGUAUCUUACCAGAAAGGGACGGCUAACUACGUG
rnacentral:rRNA from 1 species